rnacentral:lncRNA from 1 species
GCUGGAUCUUGUUCUUGGCCUUCAACUGAGGGCUGGAUCAAUGCUGCCUGAGGAUCUUAUCUUGUUUAGGCUGCCACGUAAAGGAAAAUAUCGAGAAAGGAGUUGACCACCCAACCCCCACCAAGAGAGGCAUUUCCUCCACUAGAGCCAUUGAACCAGGUUCUUGCAGAUAUUUGAGUCAUAAUCUUUGCCUGUUGACUGUUGCUGUCACCAUGCUUAGACCGUAUCU